CGUCUUUAAAUUCGGAGCAACUUUUCUUUACACAAGCAAUCUUACAAUAGAAUGAUUUACAACAAAAGCAAUCCUUCAAGCAAAGUCCUAAGCAAACAGGAUUGGUGAAACAUGAUGUUGCACACUUUAAUGGACAAGCCAAGUUCACCUUACCACUUACAUUACUAUUUGCUACAAAAAUCAUAAUAAGAAAAAAUGUCACUGUUAAAACCUUUGUGAAAUUCAUAAUUUAUAAUAUAUGUAUUU
rnacentral:lncRNA from 1 species